UUUGGAAGCAAAGUUAGCUUCACCUUCAACAGCAUCACCUUUACCAUCAAGUACUGUUACAAAUCUUGACUGAUCUGCCUACAUACAUUGGAACAGAAAUGACAGAAUAGAUUGGAAUAACAAAGCCAACAGUCUUUUUUGAGUAUGAACUCUUUGAAGGAGACCCUGACCACCUAAAAACUAUCAAAGCUACACCAACUCAGACUGAUCCAUGGAUUGAUCUUUCCCAUUUUGUCAUUUGGCCUCGUUUUUGUUAUCUAAAAAUUUCUUCUUUGUUUGUGUUUGUGGGUUGGCCCUUUUUGUGUUAUUUGGUUUAAGGCUCUCUUUUUUUUUUUGUUGAAGUAUCUAAAUUUUAGCUGGUUGAAUUGUUAUUUGGAUUAUAAUUUGUUUUGUUGAUUGGUAUUAUUUUGGUUGGUUCUAUUUA